UACAGAGGGUGCAAGCGUUGUUCGGAAUUAUUGGGCGUAAAGGGCGCGUAGGCGGUUCGAUAAGUCGGGUGUGAAACCUCCAGGCUCAGCCUGGAGACGCCACCCGAUACUGUCGUGACUAGAGUCCAGUAGGGGAGCGUGGAAUUCCUGGUGUAGCGGUGAAAUGCGCAGAUAUCAGGAGGAACACCAGUGGCGAAGGCGGCGCUCUGGGCUGGAACUGACGUUGAGGAGCGAAAGCGUGGGGAGCGAACAGG
rnacentral:rRNA from 1 species